UUCCGGUUGAUCCUGCCGGAGGUUACUGCUAUCGAGGUUCGACUAAGCCAUGCGAGUCGAAUGCCGCAAGGCAUGGCGUACUGCUCAGUAACACGUGGACAACCUACCCUUAGGACUGGGAUAACCCCGGGAAACUGGGAAUAAUCCCCGAUAGUCCUCGAAGGCUGGAAUGCAUCGAGGGCGAAAGCUCCGGCGCCUAAGGAUGGGUCUGCGGCCUAUCAGGUAGUAGUGGGUGUAGCGUACCUACUAGCCUACGACGGGUACGGGUUGUGAGAGCAAGAGCCCGGAGAUGGAUUCUGAGACACGAAUCCAGGCCCUACGGGGUGCAGCAGGCGCGAAAACUUUACAAUGCUGGCAACAGCGAUAAGGGAACCUCGAGUGCCAGGUUACAAAUCUGGCUGUCGAGAUGCCUAAAAAGCAUUUCAUAGCAAGGGCCGGGCAAGACCGGUGCCAGCCGCCGCGGUAACACCGGCGGCUCGAGUGGUAACCGUUAUUAUUGGGUCUAAAGGGUCUGUAGCCGGCCGGAUAAGUCUCUUGGGAAAUCUGGCAGCUCAACUGUCAGGCUAUCAGGAGAUACUGUCUGGCUCGAGGCCGGGAGAGG
rnacentral:rRNA from 1 species